UCGCGGCUUAUCACCGGCAGUCCCCUUAGAGUGCCCAACUGAAUGAUGGCAACUAAGGGCGAGGGUUGCGCUCGUUGCGGGACUUAACCCAACAUCUCACGACACGAGCUGACGACAGCCAUGCAGCACCUGUGUUACGGUUCCCUUUCGGGCACUCUCCCAUCUCUGGAGGCUUCCUGGCAUGUCAAGGGUAGGUAAGGUUCUUCGCGUUGCGUCGAAUUAAACCACAUGCUCCACCGCUUGUGCGGGUCCCCGUCAAUUCCUUUGAGUUUUAGCCUUGCGGCCGUACUCCCCAGGCGGGGCACUUAAUGCGUUAGCUCCGGCACGGGAGGAGUCGACACCUCCCACACCUAGUGCCCAUCGUUUACGGCGUGGACUAC
rnacentral:misc_RNA from 1 species